GACGAACGCUGGCGGCGUGCUUAACACAUGCAAGUCGAACGGAAAGGCCCUUCGGGUACUCGAGUGGCGAACGGGUGAGUAACACGUGGGUGAUCUGCCCUGCACUUUGGGAUAAGCCUGGGAAACUGGGUCUAAUACCGGAUAGGACUACGGCCUGCAUGGGUUGUGGUGGAAAGCUUUUGCGGUGUGGGAUGGGCCCGCGGCCUAUCAGCUUGUUGGUGGGGUGAUGGCCUACCAAGGCGACGACGGGUAGCCGGCCUGAGAGGGUGACCGGCCACACUGGGACUGAGAUACGGCCCAGACUCCUACGGGAGGCAGCAGUGGGGAAUAUUGCACAAUGGGCGCAAGCCUGAUGCAGCGACGCCGCGUGGGGGA
rnacentral:rRNA from 1 species